GUGGUUCUUUUAUUCUACUGUUCCAAUUUUGAAAACUUAAGAGAAUGUUCCUAACAUUCACUGGAGUGAUCUGGGAAAAGGGCAACAUUGUUCAGACUAGAAGUAACUUUGACAUAUCUACUUAUGUAAAUGUGAGGAGACAUAGAAGUGAGGUUCAGUCAGGGAGAGUGAUCCAGGUCCAUGAUGGAGACACUUGUCUAAGAGAAAGAAUAAUGCUCAAAGGGAAGAGUUAGGUAGAAGAUCUUGAGGAAUGGAAAUGGGAUGAAGAGCUGUGGGGGAAGAAAAGAGGAGAGUCUGGUAGCAUCAAAAGAGGAGUACUGCAACUGAUGCCAGUGUGGUAAGGGUCCAUAGUCAACAGUGGAGAGUACUUCACCUUCCAGAGUAGUGUCAAAUUCAGAGGCAGGGAGUGUUGAACUAGAAGAUAAGGGAAUGGGUAGCCCAACAUUUAAGGUGGCUCUAACACUCCAGUCCUAGAGGACUAUGGAAACUGGGGGUAGGGGACCCAGCUAUACAGCUGCAAAUAAAAUGUUUUAAGUGUGUUGUAAUGUGCAAUAUACAAAUGUGACACUAGAUGGCGAGAGUGAGCUAUGACAAAUUCAAUGUAUUUUUCAAAACUUUUUUUUAAAAAGCAUUUUCACUGUGUUUUUUAAAAAAUGUGUGCAGAUUCCACCAGGCUCACUAUUGUAACUUAAAACAGUAAAUUGUUAUGAGCUAGAAUGGUGUCAGAGUUGUAUCAUUUGAGGGUAUUGGGAACUGGCAUGACAUGGAACUUUCCCCAGCAGCCCACAGAGGACAUGGUAUCAUUCUGCUUUUUCCAGUUUGACAUUUUAUGUACUUCUAAUGUGGUGAAAUCUGUACAUGGUUACCUAAACUCAGUUCUAAGCAAGCAUAUAGAGACCACUGCUCUUGCCAAAUUCCAUUUUAUUUGAGUUGUGAUUCCAUCUAAUUGAAGCAGGACUGUGAAGUAGCCAAGAGGUCUAAGAGCGUUAAUGGCUCACUUUAGCUGCAAUAAUUAAUUUUGUGGAAUUUACAGUCUGUCCAGGUGAUUGAUGAGUGCAAUGGCAAAACCAGAUUAAAAACCCUCCACCAGAUUUCACUUUUUAAAAAAGUCUCCAGUUAAUAAAGGUCCAUCAAAGAGGACCUCCCAGCCAAACAAUUGUAGCUCACACAGUUCAACUACUGAGGUUAGAGAAAAGGAGACAAAAAGAGGUUAAAAUGCUAUGGUGUCCCAUAUCUAAUAAAGAAAUCUUGCUUUGUUUUUCCUAACAGGAAAGUGUGAAUGAAUCCAAUGGCUAAAGAAAAUUACACCAUGGCAACCAGCUUCAAUCUCUUUGGACUAACAGAAAAUCUGGAGCUGUGUCCUCCACUCUUCGUGGUCUUUUUAAUAAUCUAUAUUGCCACACUGGUGGGGAAUCUUGGGAUGAUUAUAUUGAUUGGCAUAGAUCCUCAACUGCACACUCCAAUGUAUUUUUUUCUCAGCAGCCUGUCCUUCCUAGAUGCCUGUUAUUCCACCACCAUCACACCUAAUAUGCUGGUGAAUUUUUUAGUAGAAAACAAAAGCAUCACUUAUGCUGCCUGCAUUUCACAAUAUUGUUUCUUUGCAAUCUUUGCCACUACUGAGUUUUUUCUUCUGGCAGCCAUGGCGUAUGACCGGUAUGUGGCUAUCUGCAACCCUCUGCUCUAUGCUUCUGUGAUGACCAAGAAACUUUGUGCAGGUCUGAUAGCAGGAUCCUACCUCUUGGGUAUUGUGAACUCUCUGAUUCACACAGGUGGCUUGUUGAGACUGUCCUUCUGUGGUUCCAAUAUCAUCAAUCACUUUUUUUGUGAUCUCACGCCCCUUCUGAAACUGGCCUGUAAUGAUAUCUACAUCAAUGAGAUGCUGGUAUUCAUUUUUGGUAGCCUGUUUGAAAUGAGCACCUUGCUGGUCAUUAUAAUCUCUUAUGUAUUCAUUAUUAUAGCUGUAGUCAGGAUUCGCUCUGCUGAGGGGAGGCUUAAAGCUUUCUCCACAUGUGCCUCCCAUCUCACAGCAGUGGCCAUAUACCAUGGGACCAUUCUUUUCAUGUACUUCAGACCCAGCUCCAGCUACUUUCUUGACACAGACAAAGUAGCCUCUGUGUUUUACACAGUGAUAAUACCUGUGUUGAAUCCUUUGAUCUACAGUCUGAGGAACAAGGAUGUAAAAUGUGCUCUAAGAAAAGUGAUUCAGAGAAAAGUGGUAUUUCAAUAAAUAUCUCUUUUAAGAGUUACCAAGUAUAGGUGGACUGGGCCACCUAUAUGCCAAUAAAAUCUUAAGGCAUGGCCUUAUAUCAACUGAACAUACUGGAA
rnacentral:lncRNA from 1 species